rnacentral:lncRNA from 1 species
CAUUUUAGUUUCAAGCAAAAGAUUCUACGUGAUCCAACAAACAGAUGCAAACAGCUGUUUUGCUAAUAACCAAAGAUAUCGUUUAGGAGAAUCAUUCUCUUUUGUUUUGGAUUGCUUCCGUUACAAUUGUCAGUGUUUCCUCAAUGGAUCCUGGGAAUGUCCUGCAGAUAGAUCAGAAUAUGUGUGCGGAGACAGAACACAACCACAUCCCACAAGACCACAGCCCACAAGAGCACCAAGAAAUGAGGGUAACACGUAAUGUUCUAUUAACUAUCAAUGAUUUAAUCAAACCUAUGAUUGAUCAAUGUUCAGUUUGUACAUUUGUUCACUUAUCAAAUCCAGUGUUUGUUAAAAUAUUCGCGAAUUAAAAUAGUUUCUUAGACACAAGAUAAUAUGUUAGAUUGUGAAAUAUCAUUAAAUCUUUUCAUAGAUUUUAUAAAAUAUCAGCUGAUAUUUUCCACAAACUAAAGUUUUGCAUAACAAUAUUUCUUUAUGAUUAAAUUGCUAUUUUCUCCAAUUCAAUGAAAUUUAUUUAAUACAGUUCUAUAUUUGUGAGAUGAAGAAAUAUUUACAUUCUUUACAUUUGACAGAUAUUUGUCCUCAUCUUGUUUGUUGUUUACACAUCUCGUCUGAUAUACCCUCCAGCCUUCAUCAGGUGUCUUGGGAAAAUUUCAAACCUAGGUUCUCAUUCCUAAGGUAUUUUUCAAUGUUGUUGUUGUUGUUGAUUACUAUCAUUAUUGUUACAGUUAUUAUUAUAGUUAUUGUCGUUGUUGUUGUAAUUGUUGUUGUUAUCAUUAAUAUUCCACUACGCCACGGGCAUAUGGCGUAGUGGUUAAGAGUGCAGGCUACUAACCCUAACGGUAACAAUAACAACAACCGAAAUUUCCCUGGACACCUGAAGAAGGCUGGAGGGUAUCUCAGCUGAAACAUUGUGUUAACAACAAACAAGAUGAGGAGAAAUAUCCGUCAAAUGUAAAUUAAAUAAAUUGAUUUAACACAACUUACCAAUUCUAUCCACUGAUAGUUCCAUCCAAAAGGACUAUUUACCAUUCAUCUUUUGGCAUUUUCUUCCCAUUUCAGGAAACAUUGGAUCCAUAAUAGUAGUAUCACAAUCUGAUAUAAGAUAUUGUAUGGUGAAUAACGAGCGCUAUAAUCUUGGAAGUCAAUUCUCAUUUACGGAAGGUUGUUUCAAGUACACCUGUAUGUGUUACCGUAAUGGAUCUUGGGAAUGUCCUGGAUCUGACUCCCAAUACAUCUGUCAUCGGGACACAGAUUGGGCAAGCAUACCAGGUAUGUCACAAACAUAUUUCUUUAAAUCCAAACAACUUGACACUUUUUAAUUGUACAGAAAUCUUUGAACAUUUCAAAAUAGUGCGUGUAUAAUUUUCUUAACAACUUCUGGAUCCGUAUUAUCUUUCGAAUAUCAACUUUUACAAAACUAUGUUGAUGAUUGUGUUUAUGUUGCAAUCAAAGGGUUUCUUGGAGAUAAAUAAAUAUGUCUCUCUUCUCCUUCAUUUUAGUUUCAAGCAAAAGAUUCUACGUAAUCGAUCAAACAGAUACAGACAGCUGUUUUGCUAAUAACCAAAGAUAUCCAGUUGGAGAACCAUUCUCUUUUGUUUUGGAUUGUUUCCGUUACAAUUGUCAGUGUUUCCUCAAUGGAUCCUGGGAAUGUCCUGCAGAUAGAUCAGAAUAUGUGUGCGGAGACAGAACACGACCACAGCCAACAAGAGCACCAAGAAAUGAGGGUAAAAAU